rnacentral:rRNA from 1 species
UACGUAGGUGACAAGCGUUGUCCGGAUUUACUGGGCGUAAAGAGCGCGCAGGCGGUCGAUCAAGUCGAGUGUGAAAGCCCCCGGCUCAACUGGGGAGGGUCAUUCGAUACUGAUCGACUCGAAGGCAGGAGAGGGUAGUGGAAUUCCCGGUGUAGUGGUGAAAAUGCGUAGAUAUCGGGAGGAACACCAGUGGCGAAGGGCGACUACCUGGCCUGUUCUUGACGCUGAGGCGCGAAAGCUAGGGGAGCAAACGGG